UAAAUUGCCGCGUUGCGCUUAGGCAGCCCAUUGUGACUCGCUUGUGGGCGUGCUGGCAGUACAUGGCAACAAGUUCGAGGGUGCGUCAAGAAUUCAGCAUAGCAAGUUUGUAAGAAUGUCUGGUUAUUAAAUGUGUAAAUAGUUCAAUAGUAAUACGCUCUAAAACACUCUGGUGACAAACUUUGCUGCCCUGUUUCCAAUUGUCCACAUGGCUGGGAGAACCUAUUCAAUAAGCAGGCUCUGGUGUAUAACUGUGGCUCCUUCAAAGAAUAGGCAAGAGGGCCAACCAUGGAGAAUAGUAAGACACUUCAUUAUUUCUAUAACUAUGCUAAAUUGUUUGUCCUCGUGUGUCCGUUCAUGUUUUUCAGCAUAAAGUACUCUGCAGCUACUUAGUGUGGACACCAGGUUAUAUCAGAUGUGUCGGUAAACCCCUCCUGCAUCGGAACUGGCUACAUAGAGGGCACAGCAUGAUCAGAGAAAUGUUUUGAUGUGAAAGAGGAUGCCAACCCCCAGUCCCGUCAUCGC